rnacentral:rRNA from 1 species
CCCACAGGCCGUAAACCCAAGGUUUCCAGGGGAAGGUUCGUCCGCCCUGGGUUAGUCGGGACCUAAGCUGAGGCCGAAAGGCGUAGGUGAUGGACAACAGGUUGAUAUUCCUGUACUACCGAUAACCGUUUGAGAGAAGGGAUGACACAGUAGGAUAAGCUAAGCACACUGUUGGUUAUGUGUGCCCAAGCAUUGAGGCAGUCAAAGUAGGCAAAUCCGCUUUGAUAAUGCUGGGAUGUGAUGGGGAGCGAAAUUUAGUAGCGAAGUAGCUGAUUUCACACUGUCAAGAAAAGUCUCUAUCGAGGUUAAAGGUACCCGUACCGCAAACCGACACAGGUGGGUGAGGAGAGUAUCCUAAGGCCAGCGAGAGAACUGUUGUUAAGGAACUCGGCAAAAUGACCCCGUAACUUAGGGAUAAGGGGUGCCACCAUCAGGUGGCCGCAGAGAAUAGGCCCAAGCGACUGUUUACCAAAAACAUAGGUUUCUGCUAAGUCGCAAGACGAUGUAUAGGAGCUGACGCCUGCCCGGUGCUGGAAGGUUAAGGGGAUCUGUUAGAGCAAUCGAAGCAGUGAACUUAAGCCCCAGUAAACGGCGGCCGUAACUAUAACGGUCCUAAGGUAGCGAAAUUCCUUGUCGGGUAAGUUCCGACCCGCACGAAAGGCGUAACGAUUUGGGCACUGUCUCAACAACAGACUCGGUGAAAUUGUAAUUCCGGUGAAGAUGCCGGAUACCUGCGACAGGACGGAAAGACCCCAUGGAGCUUUACUGUAGCUUGACAUUGGGUCUUGGUACUACAUGUACAGGAUAGGUGGGAGGCUUUGAAACCAGGACGCCAGUUUUGGCGGAGCCAUCCUUGGGAUACCACCCUUGUAGUACUGGGACUCUAACCAUAG